rnacentral:sRNA from 1 species
AUUAAAUGUUUCUGCUGGGUUGGCAGGUGUGAUCAUGGUGAUGAGUCCAGUUUAGAGUCAGCUCCCCGAGGGCAGCAUGCAGGCUGCUUUCUUGUGCUAGUGACUUUUUGAUUACAGAGAGCAAAGAGGCAUGAAAAGCACUAUACAGAAUACAUUUUUUUUUUUUUUAAAGUAGCAACUUCAACAAAGGCAGAUAACUUCUUGAGGGCAUACUGUGUGCUGGGAGCUUUAGGACAAAAUCUCAUUUCAUCGCAUCCCAAUCCUAAGCAUUAGGCUGUUAGCACCAAGUCUGCAGAGUUCACUGACCCUUUGUUUAGGGCUUGUAUCCCCAGUGUCUAGGACAGUGUCUGGCACGUGGUAGGUGCUCAGUUAAUACAUACUGAAAGAAUGAAUGAAUUAUGCUUACAAUAAAUGAGAAAACUGAAAAUUUAGAGAAUUUAAACCAUUUACACAAGGCCAUGUUGACACUAAGAGACAAAACUAGGAUCUGUGUGAUUCUAAAGCUUAAGAGCUGUCUUCUAACCACAUGUUCCCCUGUAAUGUUCUGGUUUUGUUUAUCAAGACUUCUUUGCCUCUCUAGAAGACUGUAUUAUCAUACUUUGUUCCCUUAAGCUUCUAUUUGCUAUGUAUGUUAUUUAUUCCUCUCCUUUUUAUGCCUUUAUAUUCUUGCAUAUCUGAAACUUCUUACCUGCAAUAGCUUGGGAAGAUGUGUGUCUUAUGUGGAAUACAAGAUGAGAUCAAAUGAUAAUUGAAAAUAUCCUUUUUUGUGUUAUUAAUAUUUGCGUUCCGUGAAUAUUAAUAACCGAGUAGUUUUCCUGUGUUUGUACCUCUUGGCUCUUAAACUCUGUAAGUGUGGUAUUUUUCCCGCUUGGUGGUGUCUUCUCAUGGGGUUCUAGAAAGCAAAUAGUGCUCUCCUUUUUCAUGUUUUCUAUAGCUGAUUGAAGUGUUUUUACCAUGGUUGGUGCAUUUUUCCGCCUGCCUGUUUCAUGAUCACUCUUGAGGGAUUUGACUGAAUUUGGUUAAAUCUUACAUAUAGCUAACAGCUUUCAAGACACAUCAAAAAUUUGCUUUCUGAUUCACUCUGACUUCUGAAACAAAAUGUCAGCCAAGCAUUGUUCAAAUGAGUACACUGUCAGUGGGGUUUAAGGUCAUUUGGUGUGUUGGUAGAGUUAUGUGGCUGCAAUUAGUUGUAAGUGUAAUCAUGAUUUGCAUGCAGUAUCAAAAGUACCUUUCAUGCGUAGUAGUGUAAGGACUGACAAACAGCAAGUUCCAGAUAGCAGAUCUCUCCACCGCCCCCCGCCCCCACCCAGCUUUCCAGUCUCAGAUGGACGACAUUGACACCACAGCUCUUCCAGGCACACGCCCUGUGGGCUAGAGGUUUAUGAACGUUGAUUUGGAGACCAACAGACCUGAGUUCCACUUCCCACUCACCCACUUAGUGGCUGUAAUACCUGGAGCAAGGUCCUUAACCUCUCUGAGUUUCUUAUUCCUCAUCUUUUAAACGGCAGUCACACCACACACUUUACACACUCACAUGGUGAGUGCUCCUGGGCAAGGGGCUGUUGUGAGCCCAUUGGUGUACCAACUAGUGCUGCUGUCUACUGCAAAGCAAAUGAUGAAGCUCAGUGAACAACGCUGAGUGAUGAGACAGGGCAGAAAAGGGUAAGGCAAGGGGCCACGACAUCACACCCACCCAAUGUUUUUCCCCAGAGCCCUGAGGAUGAUGACAGGAAGGUCCGAAGGAGAGAAAAAAACCGAGUUGCUGCUCAGAGAAGUCGGAAGAAGCAGACCCAGAAGGCUGACAAGCUCCAUGAGGAAUAUGAGUGCCUGGAGCAAGAAAACACCAGGCUGCGGAGGGAGAUCGGGAAGUUGACGGAGGAGCUGAAGCACCUGACAGAGGCACUGAAGGAGCAUGAGAAGAUGUGCCCGCUGCUGCUCUGCCCCAUGAACUUUGUGCCAGUGCCUCCCCGGCCAGACCCUGUCGCCGGCUGCUUGCCCCGAUGAAGCUGGGGAUACUCCUCUGCCCAACAAGGAGCCUUGGUCAUUUUCACACCUGGGAGGAAGGCUUUCCCUUCACAAUUGUAUACAGGGGGCACCUGUGGCCAGGCCUCCUUCUGGGAGCUCCAGGACCAGCCAGCUGUGUUCCCUGCAGACUGGGCUCAGCCCGACAUCCAAUAGGCGCCAGACUCACAGAGCCCUUGUGCAGAUCCAGCAUGGAGGAUACCCUCAGGAGUGACUUUUCAUCCACCCUGGCAGCUAGUAGGUUCUGCUGUUACGCAGAGCCAUUUCCUCUAGAAUUUGGAUAAUAAAGAUGCUUAUUGUCUCUCCCUUCUCCAGUUCUUGGAAUUUAGAGGCACAAUACACUUCCUUUUCCUGG